GAUGAACGCUAGCGAUAGGCCUAACACAUGCAAGUCGAGGGGCAUCACAUGAAGUAGCAAUACGGAUGGUGGCGACCGGCGCACGGGUGAGUAACACGUAUGCAACCUGCCUUCAACAAGGGGAUAACCCGUUGAAAGACGGACUAAUACCCUAUAACACAGGGGUCCCGCAUGGGAAUAUUUGUUAAAGGACAACCGGUUGAAGAUGGGCAUGCGUUCCAUUAGCUAGUUGGCGGGGUAACGGCCCACCAAGGCAACGAUGGAUAGGGGAACUGAGAGGUUUAUCCCCCACACUGGUACUGAGACACGGACCAGACUCCUACGGGAGGCAGCAGUGAGGAAUAUUGGUCAAUGGACGCAAGUCUGAACCAGCCACGUCGCGUGAAGGAAGACGGCCCCUACGGGUUGUAAACUUCUUUUAUACGGGAAUAAAGUGCCCCACGCGUGGGGUUUUGCAUGUACCGUAUGAUAAGGAUCGGCUAACUCCGUGCCAGCAGCCGCGGUAAGUACG
rnacentral:rRNA from 1 species